AGCAUAUCAAUAAGCGGAGGAAAAAAGAAAACCAACAGGGGAUUGCCCUAGUAACGGCGAGUGAAGCGGCAACAGCUCAAAUUUGAAAUCUGGCUCUUUUAGAGUCCGAGUUGUAAUUUGCAGAGGGCGCUUUGGCUUUGGCAGCGGUCCAAGUUCCUUGGAACAGGACGUCACAGAGGGUGAGAAUCCCGUACGUGGUCGCUAGCUAUUGCCGUGUAAAGCCCCUUCGACGAGUCGAGUUGUUUGGGAAUGCAGCUCUAAAUGGGAGGUAAAUUUCUUCUAAAGCUAAAUAUUGGCCAGAGACCGAUAGCGCACAAGUAGAGUGAUCGAAAGAUGAAAAGCACUUUGGAAAGAGAGUCAAACAGCACGUGAAAUUGUUGAAAGGGAAGCGCUUGCAGCCAGACUUGCUUGCAGUUGCUCAUCCGGGCUUUUGCCCGGUGCACUCUUCUGCAGGCAGGCCAGCAUCAGUUUGGGCGGUGGGAUAAAGGUCUCUGUCACGUACCUCCUUUCGGGGAGGCCUUAUAGGGGAGGCGACAUACCACCAGCCUGGACUGAGGUCCGCGCAUUCGCUAGGAUGCUGGCGUAAUGGCUGUAAGCGGCCCGUCUUGAAACACGGACCAAGGAGUCUAACAUCUAUGCGAGUGUUUGGGUGUCAAGCCCGAACGCGUAAUGAAAGUGAACGGAGGUGGGAACCCGCAAGGGUGCACCAUCGACCGAUCCUGAUGUCUUCGGAAGGAUUUGAGUAAGAGCAUGGCUGUUGGGACCCGAAAGAUGGUGAACUAUGCUUGAAUAGGGUGAAGCCAGAGGAAACUCUGGUGGAGGCUCGCAGCGGUUCUGACGUGCAAAUCGAUCGUCAAAUUUGGGCAUAGGGGCGAAAGACUAAUCGAACUAUCUAGGUAGGCUGGGAUUCCUGCCGAAGU
rnacentral:rRNA from 1 species